AGAUACAGCAGUAGCCGCGGGAAUACGAAGGGUGCAAGCGUUACUCGGAAUUACUGGGCGUAAAGCGUGCGUAGGUGGUGGUUUAAGUCCGUUGUGAAAGCCCUGGGCUCAACCUGGGAAUUGCAGUGGAUACUGGGUCACUAGAGUGUGGUAGAGGAUAGUGGAAUUUCCGGUGUAGCAGUGAAAUGCGUAGAGAUCGGAAGGAACAUCUGUGGCGAAGGCGACUAUCUGGGCCAACACUGACACUGAGGCACGAAAGCGUGGGGAGCAAACAGGAUUAGAUACCCCCGUAGUCCCUGUCUCUUAUAC
rnacentral:rRNA from 1 species